rnacentral:lncRNA from 1 species
ACCCUAGUUAUUAUGAAUAAUCAUUAGUCUCAUUUGAAUAAAAUAAUCUAUUUUGUUACCAUCGAUGCAAAACUAGAAAAUGCUUUACAGCCUAAAAACUCUCUAAAAUAAUUGUAACAUACCUUUUUGGGUACUAGUAAUGUUAAAGAUGACAUUUUGGCCUAAAUAAUGAUUGAACCCUUUAUCCAUCAAACUAGAAACUAGGUUUUACACCCUUUCAGGAGAUUCUCUUGAGGAA